UAGAAAUCAGAGGCAACUGUGAGGAAUGUCAUGGCCACAUUCACAUAAAAUGUGACGGAGAGCCUGAAAUGAACAGCCCAGUGGUGCUCAAGUGCUGAAUUAAAAACACUGACUCCCUGCACACUGGCUGUUCGAAGCAUGCGAUGUCUGGUAACUUGCCUGUGCAGAUAGUCAAAGAACUGUGUGAGGAAAGAAUGGAACCCUGUUUAUGACAACGUGGCAAUUUUUCGGAGCACACUUGGUAGUGUGCGGAAGCAUCGGCACGUCCCUAAUAACAAGUGCACACAGCUGAAACAUUCUGUACUAUUUUAACAUGUUAUUUAUUCCACCGUGGCAGUUGUUCAGAGCACAUUUGUAAGCAUGCGAAAGUAUCGGAACGUCCUUAAAUAGCAAGAGAACACAGCUGAAACAUUGUAAUUUUUAAGUAUGUAAUUUAUUCCACCAUAGUAGCUAUUAAGGGCACAUUUUUAAGCGUUUAAACGUCCCUAAUAGGCAGAGCAUGCCGUUUUUUUGCUGCAGGAUGGUUCCUACUAGGUCUGCUAAUGGGACCGCCCUCCUGACUGGCUGCCUAUAAAGUCACCCGCUCUAGCGGUGCUGAGCAGCGAGAUGUCACAGAGAAGAGUGUGUCCAGUUUGUCGGCGUUUCUACACCAACGUGCAGGCUCAUCUCGCCCAGAUUCAUCAGCAGGGUCCAGAGGAACGCUGGCUUCACCUGGCGGCAGCGAGCGAGCGGGUGAUAUGCGGGUGCUCUGGACUGCCCGGUGUCUGCAUGCGGCAGGAAAGGUUUCCGCCGGCUAGACUGCCACCUGUUCCACCUUCACCAGCUCGCCGGGGACACGGUCAGGAAGCUACUGCUCAGCGCCAAAAUAAAGCUGCAACAACUGCAAGCUUUCGGUGAGACGAACAAAUCUAAAAGUUGCAAAUGUUCUGAACUGAUCGAAAAGUAGCAAAACUCUCCGCAGAAUUUGAACGGCUGCAAGCGCUAGUAGCCCGGAAAGAGUAGUGGCUCUGUGGGUGAGUACCUAAACUAUCUCUAGGCCUAUUUUUAUUGUGUGUGGGCGGCGGACUCCAGGUGGUCGCCCGGGGUGGACGUCCCAGGAUGAAAUUUGUUUUUCUUUCACUGAUCCCCCCCCCCUUUUUUUUCUCUUUUCCAGAGCCAAUGUUAAGUGUACACGGCUUGGCUGACAAGUCUCAGAGAUGUCCCCAAAGCCGCGGCCAACGGCAAGCAGGAGAGGAGACACGUCGAGCGCUUCCUUCACUUUAUGUGGGCCAACACAGACAGUCCCCUGGCAGCUGCUGGCUCAUUACCCAAAAACACUUAAAAUUUAACAUAGAAGCCAAUACUCACAUCAACCUCUGAACCCAGUUGGAGAUAGAAAAAAAGACACCAGCCGUGAGUGAGAAGAAGCAAGGGUCCAGAUUUAUUGUUCCGUUCCACCACACGAGAUCCACACCAAUGAGAAUUCUCAGAAGUGAUCUGAUACCCUGAGCUUAAGCUCCAGUAUUUAUACUGUAAUUACACAGUAAAUAACCCAUAUGUUUCAAGAAGACUAUGAUCUCACUACCAAUAGGGUUAAAAAAGAGCUAUUCAACUUACCAUUAGCUCAAAAAACAGGGCUUUUCAACUUACAAAUAUAAUCAAAACCAGUAGCUUGACUCAGCUACCCUUAUAAAUGGCUCCUCAUGGUUUUCUCUUAAAAUUAAGGCCUUCCUUGCGAGACAAGAAUCUUCACCAUCUGAAUUAUGAGUGCCCAUCGUCAUUCCUUCUUCUCCCCUUUACUGGAUCUGGAUCUGGACACUCAUUAUCAGCUUGCGCAUCUAACUGCUGAUAUCAUGGUGCUACUUAACUAUCUUCGCAGCACCCCCUCUGGAAAUGGAAAUGCGGGGUGUCCCCCCCCCGAUACAAAAUCUGCCCCGUGAACGUGUGUAUUGACGCCUCUACACAGCCAAAACCCCCCUCCAGCUUUCAGUCUGAGGAAGAUGUCACCUUCUCUGACCUGGUCCCCGACCAUUCUUCCCACUUCUCACCUGCCAGUCCGCCCCACUCUCAGUGGUCCUCUCACUUCACCUUUGCUGAGUUUCCCAUGUCCCCAGGACGCACCCCAUUUUCUUCCCCCCACCACUCUCCUCAAGAUUACGCACCCACCAGUCCUGUGAAUUAUCAAUAAAACUACAUAUUACUCAUACUAAGUGUCCCUCAUGUUUAUUUCAUGUCAUUUUUAUCCACAACACAGCCCACCUGAAGUACAUCGACAAUGUCUCGAGAGUCCUUGAAUGGAUGAAAUCAUUGUGCCAGCGGUACAAGGUCACUCCGGCCAAGGUAUUUCUGACGUGUGUUUCCAAGUUCCUCCAUUAACUUGAUGAGAGGCUGUCCGAGGGCCGAGUUGGCUCCACGAGGCUGUGGAGUCUCCAGAGACUGCUGCAGUGGGAGUGCAGACAUCUGUCCGGUCGAGUCGUGCUCCACAGGCAAGGCGUGCGAGCGGAGAAGAGUGAGGGAGUACUUACAGCUCCUGCACGGCAAACUGUCGGACGCUGUCCCUGUUUCACUGGCUGAUCUGAACUCGUCCAGCAGACCCGGACAUGCUCAACCGUUGCAUCGGGCUGCUGUGUGCUCACUUCUUUUCGGUCAGCAGACAGGACCGGAGUCCUGCAGAACCUCACUACUGAGGAGUUUGAGAACCUCGAGAAGGCUGACUCUUUCUGAUCAAUGUGAAGCAGCACAAACCUGCCUCUGCUUUUGGACUCGCUAAGCUAGCCGUCACCAAGCUGGAGCUGAAGUGGCUGAAAGCUUUCUGCCACCUGAGGAAGCAUAUGCCGGGAUAUGAGACUUCUGUGGGGUGGCUUUUCUUUUCUGGCACACAGGCCAGGAUUUCUGCGCAUGUCAAGCUUGCCCUGCGGGCACUCGUGGGAAGAGACAUCACUGUGUCGGACAUCCCCACAGCUCUAGCAACCUACUGCGAACGCAAAAGAUGAACAACGCAAGCUCGUGACCAAGACGAUGUGCUACAGCAAUUAGCUGAGUCGUGGAGCUGUCGGUCAGCGAGGCGCACUCCGCCCAGUCUGCGCUAGAGUCCGCUGCGGGCAUAGGUGCUACAUAGGCCGGUUGUUUUUGGCUAAUGGCCCUGUGUGUGUGUGUGUGUGUGUGUGUGUGUGUGUGUGUGUGUGUGUGUGUGUGUGUGUGUGUGUGUAAAUAUUUCAUUAAAAUGUUUGAACUGAAUUCCCAUUGUCUUAAUAUUUUGACAUGUCCAAAAGUACAGUAGCAUCACUCACGGCGAGACCACACAGCCGAAAUUUCCGAAAGUACAUGGACUGAGCUCUGGGCGAAGUUCGCAGGCUUUGCCCAGGGAGAGAGUGUCAUCCUGGGCAUACACUCGUGAGCUCCAGGCUGAUCACUGCUGAAUUUUUUCCUCGUUGAUUUCAAUGGUUUAUGCGUUCCUAGUCAGGACAAGCUACUGUUUGUUGCACCUCUUCCAUCCUCCUCCACGGUCUGAAGCCAGCUGCAGCCACCUUUUCAUCAGCGUCACAAUCUCAGCACUUGUUGCCCUUGAUG